rnacentral:rRNA from 1 species
AUUGAACGCUGGCGGCAUGCUUUACACAUGCAAGUCGAACGGCAGCGCGGGCUUCGGCCUGGCGGCGAGUGGCGAACGGGUGAGUAAUACAUCGGAACGUGCCCAGUAGUGGGGGAUAGCUCGGCGAAAGCCGGAUUAAUACCGCAUACGACCUGAGGGUGAAAGCGGGGGAUCUUCGGACCUCGCGCUAUUGGAGCGGCCGAUGGCAGAUUAGCUAGUUGGUGGGGUAAGGCCUACCAAGGCGACGAUCUGUAGCUGGUCUGAGAGGACGACCAGCCACACUGGGACUGAGACACGGCCCAGACUCCUACGGGAGGCAGCAGUGGGGAAUUUUGGACAAUGGGCGAAAGCCUGAUCCAGCAAUGCCGCGUGUGUGAUGAAGGCCUUCGGGUUGUAAAGCACUUUUGGCGGGAACGAAAAGGACUGUGCCAAUACCACGGUUCGAUGACGGUACCCGCAGAAUAAGCACCGGCUAACUACGUG